CCCUUAUUCAUUACAGAAUGUCCUCUCUUCUUAUCUUGCCUUUUUUUAGCCUGAAGGACAAAGAAAAAGAGAGGCGUCUCGAUUUUCCUUGUUAAUCUGCUCCAGCUGGCAGCCUGUCCAACAUUUGAAAUCAUCUGUGAUGUAACAAUUAUUUUUUUAAAACACUAACAUCCCAUUUUAUGUAAUUUGAUGGGAUAACAGGAUGGCAAUUCAGCUUAGAAAACAUUUUGACCAGCAAUCAUUCAGACAAAUAAAAAUGAGGACAAAAAGGAUGACUGCGACAAGCAAACUAGAACAGCCUGCUAUGCCAAGAACUUCACAUGAAUCAUGCUUUCCAAAGGCCACAUUGCUUAUCUGUUCUAUAAUAACCUGGAACCUCCUCCUCAUCAAGUCUCUCUUGGGCUCCUUAGUAGCCCAAGGUUGGCAGAUGUACGGACUUAGAACAGAUGGAUACCCAGAACCUCAGACUCACAGCUCAAGGGACCUCAGCGUUCAUUUUUGUUCACCACGGAUUCCCCAUGCCAGUUCGGGAGUUGGAGAAAUUGGUGUAGAGUGGACUGGGUUGAAUUGUGCCCUCCAAAAGGAUAUGUUAAAGUCCUAACACCGAGUACCCAUGAAUGUGACUUUCUUUGGAAAUAGUGUCUUUGCAGAGGUAAUCAAGGUUAAGACGAGGUCAUUAGAGUGGGCACUAACAGGACUGGUGUCCUUAAAAGAGGAGAAGAGAUACUGGAACAGAAACACAUGAGGGGAGAACUCCAUGUAAUGACAGAUAAAGAGGCUGAAUAUUGCAGUUGCAGGCCAGGGCGUGCCAAGAAUUGCGGGGAAACUACCAGCAGCUAGGAAGAGGCAAGGAAGGAUCUUGUGCUACAGGUUUCAGAGAGGGAAGGGCCAGCGGACACCUUCAUGUUGGGCUUUUGGCCAACAGAACUGUGAGACAAUUACUCGCUCUGGGGAAAGCCAGCUGCCAUGUUGUGAGCAGCCCUACAGAAAGGCCCAUGUGGCAAGAAAUGAAAAUGUUCAGCCAUGUGAGUGAGCUGGAAGCAUAUUCGUCAGCCUCAGACAAGCGUUCAGGUGACUCUGCAGCCCUGGCUGAUGGCUUGACUGCAAACUCAAGAGACCCUGAGCUAGAACCACUCGGGGAAGCUGCUCCCAGAUUCCUGACCCUCAGAAACAGAGUGAGGUCACAAAUGUUUGUUGUUUCAAGCUGAUUUCGGUGGUGAUUUGUUAUCCAGCAAUAGGUAAUAGACCCGCUGUAAUCUUGGGCAAGUUAGAUAAAUUAAGCGCCUGUUACUCAUCUAUAAAGCGAGGACUAUGAUAAAUAAAAAUACAUUUAUAUUCCUCUCCUUUA